ensembl:lncRNA
GUGAAGAAGAAAAGAAGAAGUGAAGAAGGUGAAGAAGAAGAAGAAGAAGGUGAAAAAGUGAAAAGGAUGGGGAGAAGAAGAAGAAGUGAAGAAGGUGAAGAAGAAGGUAAGAAGAAGAAAGUGAAGAAGAAGAAGAAGAAGAAGAAAGUGAAGAAGGUGAAGAAGAAGAAAGUGAAGAAGGUGAAGAAGAAGAAAGUGAAGAAGGUGAAGAAGAAGAAAAAGAAAGCGAAGAGGGUGAAGAAGAAAAGAAGAAAGUGAAGAAGGUGAAGAAGAAGAAGGUGAAGAAAGUGAAGAGGAAGAAGACGCAGCAGAAGGUGAAGAAGGUGAAGAAGAAGAAGGUGAAGGUGAAGAAGAAGGUGAAGAAAGUGAAAAGGAUGGUGAAGAAAGGUGAAGGUGGUGAAGAAGGAGAAGAAACAGUUUGGGGGUGUGCUGUUACACAUCAAAAGUCAAAAAUAAAUCGAACACAGGAUGGUGUGAUGAAGUGGAGUUACUUUCCUGUUACAGUACAAAGCACUGACACUAGAGACUCCUUCCAUAAAUGUUAAAUAAACAUCUCCUGACUGAAAUCUUUACCAUUAACAUUCGUUACUAUAGAAACCAUGACCGUCUUGAUCUUGGAAAAACGUGCGUGACCCCGAUUACUGACCUUUAACCGUGACCUUGUGCUCUCCUGUGCCUGGAUGAGUGAACAGAUCGAUCUGUAUGGACACCUCUCCUACUGGCUUAUCCACACCUGAGCCUACACACACACACACACACACACACACACACACACACACACACUUUCAGAAGGCAGCAUGUUGUCAUUUU